GACGAACGCUGGCGGCGUGCCUAACACAUGCAAGUCGAGCGAAUGAAGUUCCUUCGGGAAUGGAUUUAGCGGCGGACGGGUGAGUAACACGUGGGCAACCUGCCUCAUAGAGGGGAAUAGCCUUCCGAAAGGGAGAUUAAUACCGCAUAAGAUUGUAGUAUCGCAUGAUACAGCAAUUAAAGGAGCAAUCCGCUAUGAGAUGGGCCCGCGGCGCAUUAGCUAGUUGGUGAGGUAACGGCUCACCAAGGCGACGAUGCGUAGCCGACCUGAGAGGGUGAUCGGCCACAUUGGGACUGAGACACGGCCCAGACUCCUACGGGAGGCAGCAGUGGGGAAUAUUGCAAAAUGGGGGAAACCCUGAUGCAGCAACGCCGCGUGAGUGAUGACGGCCUUCGGGUUGUAAAGCUCUGUCUUCAGGGACGAUAAUGACGGUACCUGAGGAGGAAGCAACGGCUAACUACGUG
rnacentral:rRNA from 1 species